rnacentral:rRNA from 1 species
AUUGAACGCUGGCGGCAGGCUUAACACAUGCAAGUCGAGCGGAGUGAUGGUGCUUGCACUAUUACUUAGCGGCGGACGGGUGAGUAAUGCUUAGGAAUCUGCCAUUUAGUGGGGGACAACAUUCCGAAAGGAAUGCUAAUACCGCAUACGUCCUACGGGAGAAAGCAGGGGAUCUUCGGACCUUGCGCUAAAUGAUGAGCCUAAGUCGGAUUAGCUAGUAGGUGAGGUAAAGGCUCACCUAGGCGACGAUCAGUAGCGGGUCUGAGAGGAUGAUCCGCCACACUGGGACUGAGACACGGCCCAGACUCCGACGGGAGGCAGCAGUGGGGAAUUUUGGACAAUGGGCGAAAGCCUGAUCCAGCCAUGCCGCGUGUCUGAAGAAGGCCUUCGGGUUGUAAAGGACUUUUGUCGGGGAGGAAAUCCCCAGCGCUAAUACCGCCGGGGGAUGACAGUACCUGAAGAAUAAGCACCGGCUAACUACGUGCCAGCAGCCGCCGUAACAC